GCUGGCGGCAGGCCUAACACAUGCAAGUCGAGCGGUAGAGAGAAGCUUGCUUCUCUUGAGAGCGGCGGACGGGUGAGUAAUACCUAGGAAUCUGCCUGAUAGUGGGGGAUAACGUUCGGAAACGGACGCUAAUACCGCAUACGUCCUACGGGAGAAAGCAGGGGACCUUCGGGCCUUGCGCUAUCAGAUGAGCCUAGGUCGGAUUAGCUAGUUGGUGAGGUAAUGGCUCACCAAGGCUACGAUCCGUAACUGGUCUGAGAGGAUGAUCAGUCACACUGGAACUGAGACACGGUCCAGACUCCUACGGGAGGCAGCAGUGGGGAAUAUUGGACAAUGGGCGAAAGCCUGAUCCAGCCAUGCCGCGUGUGUGAAGAAGGUCUUCGGAUUGUAAAGCACUUUAAGUUGGGAGGAAGGGCAGUUACCUAAUACGUGAUUGUCUCGACGUUACCGACAGAAUAAGCACCGGCUAACUCUGUGCCAGCAGCCGCGGUAAUACAGAGGGUGCAAGCGUUAAUCGGAAUUACUGGGCGUAAAGCGCGCGUAGGUGGUUUGUUAAGUUGAAUGUGAAAUCCCCGGGCUCAACCUGGGAACUGCAUCCAAAACUGGCAAGCUAGAGUAUGGUAGAGGGUAGUGGAAUUUCCUGUGUAGCGGUGAAAUGCGUAGAUAUAGGAAGGAACACCAGUGGCGAAGGCGACUACCUGGACUGAUACUGACACUGAGGUGCGAAAGCGUGG
rnacentral:rRNA from 1 species